AGUCGAACGAACCUUCGGGUUAGUGGCGGACGGGUGAGAAACGCGUGAGAAUCUGCCCUCAGGAGGGGGAUAACGGUUGGAAACGACCGCUAAUACCCCAUAUGCCGAGAGGUGAAAUGAAUUUCGCCUGAGGAUGAGCUCGCGUCUGAUUAGCUAGUUGGUGUGGUAAUGGCGCACCAAGGCUUCGAUCAGUAGCUGGUCUGAGAGGAUGAUCAGCCACACUGGGACUGAGACACGGCCCAGACUCCUACGGGAGGCAGCAGUGGGGAAUUUUCCGCAAUGGGCGAAAGCCUGACGGAGCAACGCCGCGUGAGGGAUGAAGGCCUCUGGGCUGUAAACCUCUUUUAUCAAGGAAGAAGAUCUGACGGUACUUGAUGAAUAAGCCACGGCUAAUUCCGUGCCAGCAGCCGCGGUAAUACGGGAGUGGCAAGCGUUAUCCGGAAUUAUUGGGCGUAAAGCGUCCGCAUGCGGUCUUGUAA
rnacentral:rRNA from 1 species